CUUUACUGCAGCUUCGCCUUGUCGUUAGCAACAACAUGUGUAGGAUAGGUGGGAGGCUAUGAAUCCGGGGCUCCAGUCUCGGGGGAGCCAACCUUGAAAUACCACCCUUAUUGUUGUUGACGUCUAACCGCGGCCCGUUAUCCGGGUCCGGGACAUGGCGUGGCGGGCAGUUUGACUGGGGCGGUCGCCUCCCAAAGGGUAACGGAGGCGCGCGAUGGUGGGCUCAGACCGGUCGGAAAUCGGUCGUCGAGUGCAAUGGCAUAAGCCCGCCUGACUGCGAGACUGACAAGUCGAGCAGAGACGAAAGUCGGCCAUAGUGAUCCGGUGGUCCUGCGUGGAAGGGCCAUCGCUCAACGGAUAAAAGGUA
rnacentral:rRNA from 1 species